GGAUUGCCCUAGUAACGGCGAGUGAAGCGGCAACAGCUCAAAUUUGAAAUCUGGCUUCGGCCCGAGUUGUAAUUUGUAGAGGAUGCUUUGGGCGCGGCGCCAACUGAGUUCCCUGGAACGGGACGCCACAGAGGGUGAGAGCCCCGUAUAGUUGGAUGCCUAGCCUAUGUAAAGCUCCUUCGACGAGUCGAGUAGUUUGGGAAUGCUGCUCAAAAUGGGAGGUAAAUUUCUUCUAAAGCUAAAUACCGGCCAGAGACCGAUAGCGCACAAGUAGAGUGAUCGAAAGAUGAAAAGCACUUUGAAAAGAGGGUUAAAUAGCACGUGAAAUUGUUGAAAGGGAAGCGCUUGUGACCAGACUUGCGCCGGGCAGAUCAUCCGGUGUUCUCACCGGUGCACUCUGCCCGGCUCAGGCCAGCAUCGGUUCUCGUGGGGGGAUAAAGGUCUCGGGAACGUAGCUCUUCCGGGAGUGUUAUAGCCCGGGGCGUAAUGCCCUCGCGGGGACCGAGGUUCGCGCAUCUGCAAGGAUGCUGGCGUAAUGGUCAUCAGCGACCC
rnacentral:rRNA from 1 species